rnacentral:hammerhead_ribozyme from 1 species
AUGCAGUUGACGAGUCCCAAAGAGAACGAGAUGCGCAUCCUGGAU